rnacentral:lncRNA from 1 species
GUUAAAGAUGACAGAGAUUAUACCAGAAACCCUCACUUUAUAAUCAGAACUUUUUAUUCAAACUUUUGAAAUAAGAAAUUUCUAUAAUGCCCCAGGGUUACUACAGAUAAAAUAAGAUAUGUUUCAAUAUUUUAUAAAACCAAAACUAUUGAAGAUAUUGACAGUUAUGAUACAUGGGUUCAUAUGAAAACUCUGGAAGUGUUAUUGGCCAUACAAAGAAUGAUGUCAGUAAGAGAUUUCUGUUGCAUGACUGGCAGUACAAGAUGAUGGUUGCAAAUGCUGUUGAGAAAGUUUAUGGCAUGUUGGAAUUGAUCAAAAUUAAAUUUUGUUUCUGUUAUUCAAUAGCAUUUUCAGACAUGUUUUGGGAAAGCACCUCCAAAUAGAUAAUCCAUUUAUGAUUGAUAUCAGAAAUUCAAAUCCACAGCAUGUUUGUGCAAAGGUAAGAGUUCUGGAAGAUCACCAAUUACUGAGGAAGAAGUGGUGUGUGUUUGGGCCACUUAUGCAUGGACUAGGAAAUCCACCAUGAGGGAGAGUUUGAAGUUAGGAAGUCCACAACAAACUAUGAAAAUCUUGUGUAGGUAGCUAAAAAUCAAGCUAUAUAGCACAAACUUUAUAUCACUAUGAGGUACAUAAGAGAAUCUCAAAUAUUCGAGCUACAAUCAAAUUCUUUCUGUAUCAGUGGGAGUCAUAUCAGUUUCUUUCAGGUAAUUUUAACAAUGGUUUCAAGAAACUUGUUCAUUAUAUAUUUCGCAUGCAUUUAUUUCUUAUAAAUGUGGACUAUUAUUUAAAAUAUUUGUAAUUUGUUCAUUUAUUGUAUUUUUUAAAAUAUUUUUUGUUUCAUAUUA